AUGGCGAGAGCCUUGAGAGAUUGCCUGGAGGUGUGGGCAGCUAGGUGGCUCUGUGGAAAGAGAACCUGGCAAAUAGGGCCUCAGACACUUCUUAGCUGUGUGACCCUCAGCAAGUCACUUAACCCUAACUGUCUAGUCCUUACUUUCUGCCUUGCUAUCACACCAGAAGGUAAGGUUUUGAGGCAGAGAGAGAGUAGAGAGACAGAAAGAAAGAGAGAGACACACACAGAGGAAGAGGGAGCGAGAAGGAAAGAGACAGUGAGAAAGAAGGAAAGAGAGGGAGAGAGGAGAGAGACAGAAGGAAAGAGAGACAGUGAGAAAGAAGGAAAGAGGGAGAGAGGAGAGAGACAGAAGGAAAGAGAGACAGUGAGAAAGAAGGAAAGAGAGAGAGAGGAGAGACAGAAGGAAAGAGAGACAGUGAGAAAGAAGGAGAGAGGAGAGAGACAGAAGGAAAGAGAGACAGUGAGAAAGAAGGAAAGAGAGAGAGAGGAGAGAGACAGUGAGAAAGAGAGACAGUGAGAAAGAAGGAAAGAGGGAGAGAGGAGAGAGACAGAAGAAAAGAGAUGCAGAGAAAGAGGGAGAGAGAAGGAAUGAGAGAGAAAGAGGGGGAAAAAGACAGGAAGAUGGGAGAGAGAGAGAGAGGAGGAAGAGGAGGAGGAGGAAAGAGAGACAAAAAACAGAGAGAUUACCUAGAAAAUUACUAUACAAAGGAGCAAGUGUUGGUCUCCAUCUCCAUUUGUAAAAAGCAAAACUAGGAGGGUUUCAACUUGCCCAAAGUCCCCCAACUAUUUCUUCUGUGGUUGAGGAACUCAAACUCUGAUCUUUCUAAAUGAAGUCCAACAUUCCAUCCCUUGGGCCACCCAGCCCCCUCCUUCCCUCUCUCUUCCAUGCUGGCCAAGCCUUUAAAGAGCAUCUAAAGGUAUUUUGAAACUGAUUCUGCCAGCCUCUGGUCAGCAUUCCCUUUGUGAGUCCUUAAUAGCCCAUGAGUGUCUUGAGGGACUUGAGAAUCCUAGAUUAUGUGAUGAAGAGUCCAGCCUUCCUUGCAGCUUCCAGGGUGAGCUGCUUUUUCUGACUUCUGGUUGUUUCUAUUUUUAGCUGGCUGUUAGAGAGGAGCUUUCUAACUUACAUCUCUGUCUCCUUU
rnacentral:lncRNA from 1 species